rnacentral:rRNA from 1 species
GACGAACGCUGGCGGCGUGCCUAAUACAUGCAAGUAGAACGCUGAAGCGAGGAGCUUACUCUUCUUGGAUGAGUUGCGAACGGGUGAGUAACGCGUAGGUAACCUGCCUUGUAGCGGGGGAUAACUAUUGGAAACGAUAGCUAAUACCGCAUAACAAUGGAUGACACAUGUCAUUUAUUUGAAAGGGGCAAUUGCUCCACUACAAGAUGGACCUGCGUUGUAUUAGCUAGUAGGUGAGGUAAUGGCUCACCUAGGCGACGAUACAUAGCCGACCUGAGAGGGUGAGCGGCCACACUGGGAGUGAGACACGGCCCAGACUCCUACGGGAGGCAGCAGUAGGGAAUCUUCGGCAAUGGGGGCAACCCUGACCGAGCAACGCCGCGUGAGUGAAGAAGGUUUUCGGAUCGUAAAGCUCUGUUGUAAGUCAAGAACGGGUGUGAGAGUGGAAAGUUCACACUGUGACGGUAGCUGACCAGAAAGAGACGGCUAACUACGUG